CUGGAUUCGCUAGUAAUCGCGCAUCAGCCAUGGCGCGGUGAAUACGUUCCCGGGCCUUGUACACACCGCCCGUCAAGCCAUGGGAGCCGGGGGUGCUUGAAGUGCGUCGCCGCAAGGCGCGCCCUAGAGCAAAACCGGUGACUGGGGCUAAGUCGUAACAAGGUACC
rnacentral:rRNA from 1 species